GGGGAUAUGGCGAAAUUGGUAGACGCUACGGACUUAAAAUCCGUCAACUUUAAAAGUCGUGAG
rnacentral:tRNA from 1 species